UCUAUGUAUAUAACGGAUAUGGUUUUGUUUUCCCCGUCCCAGGAACGAUUCGUGGUCACCGUGUGUACCAAUCAUAUAAUUUAUUUAAAUAUACUUCCUCUUAAAUAUUUCUACACAUCCCAACACUUCACUGAUCUGGCAGACACGUAUAGCCUUACGCUCAUUACAGGGAUUUUAUGUCUCCUUUAUGUACAGUAUUUACACAUUGAUUUUUUUUUUUUGGUUUGUACCUCUAUAAAUCAUGUACAUCAAAAUAUAUGGACUAUAUUUCCUAUUCCACACACACACACACACACACACACACACAUAUUCUGGUCAGCAAACAUCUGGCCAUUUCACAGACAUGUGCUGGAGAGAUGAAAAGCGUUGGGAUGGAAAUAAGUUAGUGGUUAUGUUUUAGGAAGCAGGAAAUCCCUGAUCGGGAAAUAAACACCGUCUUUCAUCUUUGCCACGCUCGGAAGUCACCGAUGGCGAAAUAAUGACAUCGAGGGCGUCGUUAUCUUUAUCGGGACAGAAUAUAAACCCGAGGCAAAUCCGUUUCUCUUGGAACGAGGAGAUUCAUCGGAUUCCUGUCUUAAGUUUCGAAAGCAUUGUGAUGCGGCUCCGUCGGGUUGGCAUCUCAGGCAAGUUUAUGACGAAUACAUCCAUUUUUCUUCUUCGCCAUCGUGUCCGUGAGGCUCUCCAUCGGUUCUUUCGUCAGUCCGUGUGACCUCUGCGGUGGCGAAGUCGUAUCCUAGACGUGAUUUGCUGAAUUGAUGGGACGGCGAAGGUCGGUCUUGUCCAAAAGGCACUUGCUGAUGAUUUGUUUUUCCUUCCUCCUCUGGUUUGGCUUGAACCUGCAGGAGAAGAGAGGACGUUAAAACCCCGUGUCGUGUCAAGCUCGGCUGUACGGACGUGUGUAAAUAUGCUCGGGUGUUUCCGAGAAGUCUACGAACUGCCAGGAAAGAGCCGAACGUUAUUUUAUUAUCCAGGAGAAUCCCUAGGCGUUGAGCUUGACGUUGUAAAUCUGGUUUUGAUACAAUAACUGUUCAAAUGGGAUGUAUCAGGGGUGUAGCCUCUGAUGCUCCUUUCUCAUACAGCUACAUCGUACGUGCUCUCGGGAGCUAAACGGCGCGGUGCGGUAGCGUUACGUGCUCCUACGGCGAUUUCGGACGUCUGUAUAACAGCCACGUGUUUAUGGAGCGGUCGACCAUUCUUGUAGUCAUACACGCUGUAACGUAUAUUCAGUGAGCCUGUUGGUUUUACACGAGUCUGUCGCAGGACGUAAACACACACAUUCACGCACUAGGAGCAAUUCGGCUUCAGAUAUUUGGGAGGAAACCCGAGAACCCAGAGGAAACCCAAACUGGGAGCAGUGACAACUCAUUCAUUCAUCAGAGAGAGGAAGACAAUAUUAUAUGAAAAGUUUGCAAUGUUUUCUAGACCCUUCCAUGAUGAUAAUCACAACUUCAAAGACGCCUUUGCGCGAGUGGAAAAUUUUCCGGCCUGUACGUAAGCCCUGCCUCCAGCCGGAACAUCGACCCGGUUCGCCCCGUUUUCCUUAAAAGGUAAGUCACACGGGGUGACAUGGCGGCGUAAGCGGUAGCGUCGCUGCAUCACAUCACAC
ensembl:lncRNA